AUGCACCCUUAUCUGGGAAGAGGAUCUUUACUAAGGUCAUCAAAUGAAGUCCUCAGGAGGGUGCUCGCCAAGAGAGAUGUGGCUUUCUUCUUAUGUCAAAUGCAGUGGAGCUUUCCCUUCCCCUGCUGGCUGCCAACAUGCAAGAGUUCUGUUACUCAACUGGCGCAAAGUUCAGGGCUGCUACGUUCUGUGUCAAACCUGGAAAACGAUACUUCUCACUUACGUGUUUUCUUCAUGAAGCCUGUCAGCACUCUGGAGUGCUGGCCCUGGAGAAAUGCUCCCGAGCUUUCCUCUAGUGCGCUGAAGCCAGGACACCCUGCCGCACCCCAGCCACGGCGCUCCCCAAUCAGUGCUCAGCUGCCGCGAGCCCUCAUGGAGCUGUCUUGACGACUGGGGCUGAGAAGGGCAAGGUAUUGGAUUCAGCCUCUUCGUGUGCCAGUGGAGGUGGCUCUGUCAUGUUUGGAGUAAUCACCCACAAAUCUAUAAAGGAAAUUCGCUUUCAUCAAACGUCAUUGUAAAGUAUACCAAAUGAGAUAGCAUGCACACAUAAUGCACCAAAUAUUCUUAUAAUUCUUUGUAAUUUUCUCUGUUAUGCAAAUCCAGCUUCAUGGAAGUGAAUCAAAAAAGAGCAACA
rnacentral:lncRNA from 1 species